GAUGAACGCUAGCGGUAGGCUUAACACAUGCAAGUCGAGGGGUAACAGGGUUUUCGGAUCGCUGACGACCGGCGCACGGGUGAGUAACGCGUAUGCAACCUACCCAUUGCUGGAGCAUAGGCCGAAGAAAUUCGGAUUAAUACUCCAUAAUAUCAUUAGUUCACAUGUUCUGAUGAUUAAAGUUCCGGCGGCAAUGGAUGGGCAUGCGUGACAUUAGUUUGUUGGUGAGGUAACGGCUCACCAAGACUACGAUGUCUAGGGGGUCUUAAAGGAUGAUCCCCCACACUGGUACUGAGACACGGACCAGACUCCUACGGGAGGCAGCAGUGAGGAAUAUUGGUCAAUGGGCGAAAGCCUGAACCAGCCAAUCCGCGUGCAGGAUGACGGCCCUAUGGGUUGUAAACUGCUUUUGUACGAAAANAAAUCCCUGACGUGUCANNAGCUGACGG
rnacentral:rRNA from 1 species